rnacentral:misc_RNA from 1 species
GUAGAAGAUGGAUCGGUCGGAGCCCCGCCGCACGGGCAGGUGCAUGCGUGGACUGGGGAUUGUAAACAGCCGAACUGUGAGGACAUGGGGACCUUCUACACCGCGGCCUUCGACCCCAUCUUCUUCGCUCACCAUGGCAACCUUGACCGUCUCUGGCAUGUUUGGAAAAGUUCUGACGCCGAGCACAAGAACUAUGAUGAUGUGGACUUUCUGGAGGCCUCAUUCUUGUUUUAUGACGAGAAUGCGCAGCUGGUUAGGGUUAGGAUAAAAGACUGCUUGGAUGAAAAG